CACGUGAGGGUGCAAGCGUUGUCCGGAAUUAUUGGGCGUAAAGGGGCUCGUAGGCGGUCCGUCACGUCGGGAGUGAAAACUCGGGGCUCACCCCGAGCCUGCUUCCGAUACGGGCGGACUAGAGGUGAGGGUAGGGGGAGAACGGAAUUCCUGGUGUAGCGGUGGAAUGCGUAGAGAUCCGGAGGAAGACCGGUGGCGAAGGCGGUCGCUGGGCAGUUCUGACACUGAGCGCGACA
rnacentral:rRNA from 1 species